GUAAAUCUAAGGCGGCGAAGAGAUGCAAAUUUCAAAUUAUAAUUUUCGAGCAAUAAAUUUAAAGAACACGCAAUCUUUCGACAUUAACUUUCAACAAGGUGAAAGUUCUCUAAAAUAGGUAUAGGUUCGACAGCAAUUCAUACGUAUUUUAGUGUCUGAGAAUACCACUUUUGACUAGUAAAAGUUGGAAAUAUACGGAAGACAUCGUCGCACAGGAAUCGGAUUUUGCACACGUAUUCUGGACAUGUGUACACAGCUUUUAAGCCCUAUUAGCGUUUCAAAGUCGAAAAAAAAUU